AACGCACAUUGCGCUCUCUGGUAUUCCGGAGAGCAUGCCUGUUUGAGUAUCAGUACAAUCUCCUCAAACCUCUUUUUGGGGUUUGGAUAUGGGUCAUCCCGAGACAUCUUUGAUGCUUCGAGCGGCCUGAAAUGGAUGGUUUGGCUUCGGAUCUUUUUCAAGGUCUUCGGUGGCCGCAAGUGUGACAAGAGCUUUGCCCUUUGUAGUAUGAGGGGCUUUUCUCCAAAUCCACUGAACGUUACAUCGAGGUUUUUGCCCUUGGGUUCUGAGUCGCCAACGAUUCAGGUUCAGCGAUUUUAGGCUUCGGUCUUUCUUGUUGAACCGACCAAACACGGGUCUCCGGACCUGCGAUCUUGAUCUCAAAUCAGGCAAGACUACCCGCUGAACUUAA
rnacentral:misc_RNA from 1 species